rnacentral:misc_RNA from 1 species
CAACCCCUAAGCACAGCUUACUGUUGGGACUCUACGGCCUCCGUAGUUCCCCAAAGCGAUUGGCGGAGUGGCAGUAGUCCUCUGAGCGUAGUAAUUCUUUAUCUCGCUUUUGUUAGGUGCUGCCCCCCGGCCGUUAAACCCCCCAAUUUUUUCU